GCUAUGUGAUGAUACUCCCGAUGACUGAACGCUCCAUAGUUGGUCCAUGGAGUGUGUAUGAUGGAGUGCACUGUUUCAAGACGGGACUGAUGGCAGC
rfam:Egretta garzetta contig56760, whole genome shotgun sequence.